rnacentral:rRNA from 1 species
AUUGAACGCUGGCGGCAUGCCUUACACAUGCAAGUCGAACGGCAGCACGGGAGCAAUCCUGGUGGCGAGUGGCGAACGGGUGAGUAAUAUAUCGGAACGUGCCCGGUCGUGGGGAUAACGUAGCGAAAGCUACGCUAAUACCGCAUACGAUCUACGGAUGAAAGCGGGGGAUCGCAAGACCUCGCGCGAUUGGAGCGGCCGAUAUCAGAUUAGGUAGUUGGUGAGGUAAAGGCUCACCAAGCCGACGAUCUGUAGCUGGUCUGAGAGGACGACCAGCCACACUGGGACUGAGACACGGCCCAGACUCCUACGGGAGGCAGCAGUGGGAAUUUGGACAAUGGGCGAAAGCCUGAUCCAGCAAUGCCGCGUGCAGGAUGAA